rnacentral:lncRNA from 1 species
CGACACACUUCCCUGCACUUAUAGUUUUAAAAUAUCGUACACAUAACAUUAUGAUUUCAGUUCUAAAUGUAAACCAUGAUUUCUUUUUAAAGACGUAUGGCAGCCUUCAUUUCCAGUCAAGGCAUGCGACAUUUUAGGGUCCUGUGGAAGAAAUGCGAUAUGCUUUCAGAUCACGUGUGAAGGAGGUCUCACUGAGUCGAGAUCUGCUUAGUGCCAAGUGUGAUGUGGACACUUGCCUGCUGGAUGGAGACAGAAACUCAUUUCCCAUCUGUCAAGCAGCCUGACACAGAGUUGGUAAUGAUUUUCUGUCAGGCGAGGCCUGGCUGGAUUUGAACCCGUGACCCAGACGUAAAAGGGCCUGAUGUAGGGCUCCCUUUACAAUAACUGGCUGCCUGUACCUUGUUACUCCCAGCCCAGGACUCUCUCUCACAUCUGCCCAUGCUUUCUCCUCAUGCAGCUGAAGUUUGGUUAGAUCCUGACUUAGCACUGGGGCUAAGUGAUUGAUGUCCCUGGGCAAGCAGAAGAUGCAUUAGUGUCUUAGGGAAUGGAAAAUGAAAGGUGGAAGAAGAACGGGACGGUGGGACUGCAGUGUGAUUAGCGUGUAGCCAAAAGCCAUGUGCUCCUGUGAAGCCAGGGCCUGACCCUCUCAGGAUCUGUGCAGCCUGUCGGCCAGCCAGACGGCUCCCAUGCAAAGGCCACCAGGAGUGUGGGUCUGGAGUAAUACUGAGUUUAGAUUCUCCAGGUGUCAACUAUUCUGGUGUUGAAAUUGUCAUCAUUAUUCAUACUGAUAGUUUUCAUGAAAAAAGAGUCCCUUUCAGGGGCAUCCAUAGAUGAUUAACAUGAUGACCCCCGUUCACUGAAUGAUAAUUAAGAGUCACACACCACUCUCCAAAAGCAGUGCUUCACAGGUGGAAAAUAUCUGUCCUCCAGAAUCAGAAAAGCAAACUGGAGGGCCUUAAGGGUUAACUCAUUAUUAAACAUUUAUUGAAGUUCCUCCUAGCAGACAAGUGUUCUAUCAGGGUUAUAGACAUAAGCAAAAUGAGGCUCCCAUUGAAGAAAUUAAUCAUUUAGAGGGGAAGAGACAUGUUGACAAAGAAAACCUGGUACAAUCUGAUAAGUGAUAUCAAUAGCAAGUGAAGAAAUUCAGUUGUCAUUUGAAAAUGAAGGCCUGUGUCUCACGAUGGUGGGAAGCAUUGAGAGAGCCUGGGAAUUAGAGCAGAGGUAAAAUGAAGGGAAGCACAGGUGUUGACCACAUCAGAGACCCAGCUGGAAUCUAGGCUUUCCCGCUUAUAAGCUGUGGGACUUGGAACCUAGUCUCAUGGGCCCUCCACAUCCUAAGCUGUAAAAUGGGAAUAAUUACACCAAUGUCAAAAAUUGCUGUAAGGAUUAAAUGGGUAAAGCAUUUAUCAGAGUGCCUGGCACAUAGUAGGUGAUUGAUAACUGUCAGCAAAGG